AUUGAACGCUGGCGGCAUGCUUUACACAUGCAAGUCGAACGGUAACAGGCCGCAAGGUUCUGACGAGUGGCGAACGGGUGAGUAAUGCAUCGGAACGUGCCCAGUCGUGGGGGAUAACUACUCGAAAGAGUAGCUAAUACCGCAUACGAUCUAUGGAUGAAAGCGGGGGACCGUAAGGCCUCGCGCGAUUUGAGCGGCCGAUGUCAGAUUAGGUAGUUGGUGGGGUAAAGGCUCACCAAGCCAACGAUCUGUAGCUGGUCUGAGAGGACGACCAGCCACACUGGGACUGAGACACGGCCCAGACUCCUACGGGAGGCAGCAGUGGGGAAUUUUGGACAAUGGGCGCAAGCCUGAUCCAGCAAUGCCGCGUGCAGGAAGAAGGCCUUCGGGUUGUAAACUGCUUUUGUACGGAACGAAACGGCUCUGGUUAAUACCCGGGGCUAAUGACGGUACCGUAAGAAUAAGCACCGGCUAACUACGUG
rnacentral:rRNA from 1 species